UGGACAUUUAUGGUGGCAGAUUCUUCUUGAGUUAAAGAUAAUGUUUGAUGAAUGUCCUAGAGAAAUAUAGUAGCUUUCUGUUCAUCCUUUUUAAGAAAGGGUGGAUUGUACCUCUACUGACAUUC